UACGUAGGGCGCAAGCGUUUGUCCGGAAUUAUUGGGCGUAAAGAGCUCGUAGGCGGCCUGUUGCGUCCGCUGUGAAAUCCCGGGGCUCAACCCCGGGCCUGCAGUGGAUACGGGCUGGCUAGAGGCAGGCAGGGGAGAACGGAAUUCCUGGUGUAGCGGUGAAAUGCGCAGAUAUCAGGAGGAACACCGGUGGCGAAGGCGGCCCCCUGGGCCGCGCCUGACGCUGAGACGCGAAGGCUAGGGGAGCGAACGGG
rnacentral:rRNA from 1 species